ACGGCUCAGUAACACGUGGACAACCUGCCCUUAGGUUGGGUAUAAACCCGGGAAAACUGGGUAUAAUACCCGAUAGGUCUCGAUUGCUGGAAUGCAUCGAGAUUUAAAGCUCCGGCGCCUAAGGAUGGGUCUGCGGCCUAUCAGGUAGUAGUGGGUGUAGCGUACCUACUAGCCUACGACGGGUACGGGUUGUGAGAGCAAGAGCCCGGAGAUGGAUUCCGAGACACGAAUCCAGGCCCUACGGGGUGCAGCAGGCGCGAAAACUUUACAAUGCUGGCAACAGCGAUAAGGGAACCUCGAGUGCCAGGUUACAAAUCUGGCUGUCGAGAUGCCUAAAAAGCAUUUCAUAGCAAGGGCCGGGCAAGACCGGUGCCAGCCGCCGCGGUAACACCGGCGGCUCGAGUGGUAACCGUUAUUAUUGGGUCUAAAGGGUCUGUAGCCGGCCGGAUAAGUCUCUUGAGAAAUCUGGCAGCUUAACUGUCAGGCUUUCAGGAGAUACUGUCUGGCUCGAGGCCGGGAGAGGUGAGGGGUACUUCAGGGGUAGGGGUGAAAUCUUGUAAUCCUUGAAGGACCACCAGUGGCGAAGGCGUCUCACCAGAACGGACCUGACGGCAAGGGACGAAAGCUAGGGGCACGAACCGGAUUAGAUACCCGGGUAGUCCUAGCCGUAAACGAUACUCGCUAGGUGUCGGCCACGGUGCGACCGUUGUCGGUGCCGUAGGGAAGCCGUGAAGCGAGCCACCUGGGAAGUACGGCCGCAAGGCUGAAACUUAAAGGAAUUGGCGGGGGAGCAC
rnacentral:rRNA from 1 species